rnacentral:lncRNA from 1 species
GGUGCACCGGCCAAACCCACAACGGAAUCCUAGGAGUCUGCCGCUCCCAUGACCCUGCCCAGGUACAUAUAAGAUGGCCCCUGCGCCCUCCCAUAAGCCAUCGGCGAGUAGAAGCACCAGUGAGCGUCGAUUGCUCGGAUUUAGGUGGGGGAUCAGGGGUGUUCAUCGGAGUACAUUGUACUUGGGGCUAGUUUUUUUCAAGCGUCUGGAACAAGCAGUGAAGGCCCGAUGUUUGGUUUGGGAAGGCCCCCUUCCGUGACAAUGGAAUUAGUGCAUGCUACUAGCGUUCGUCUGGAGUCCCAUAUACAAUGGUGGGUUCUGGAAACUGAGGUAAAUCUUUGACUGACCUAGUUUCUAAUUCCAAAUUUUGUGCUCCCACCGCUUCUUGAUCCGUCGGGUGCCAAGGGCCUCUGUUGCGGCAAGUCGGCUGCAGUCCGGGAGCCGGCGGUAGCAGAGGUGAACAACAAAGCUGGGCGUUGGCCUGCCAGCGUCGCCGGUGAGGGUGUCUCAGACGCCCAAGCAGCCCAUGUUGCCCUUCUACUUACCGAGCCGCCCUCACCCUCCAGCUACAAGAGCUCGCCGCCGUACAAACUAAAGGCCGCCGCCGCUCUGUAAUUUAUGGGGAAGAAACGACUCCGUCCAUUGAUCUGGGAGGGACGAUGGGGAUUAGAUCCUAACGUUUUAAAAUCAUGAGCGUCCGAUUCUAAUCGAACGGUUGGGGGAAGUAGCUGAUACCCCUUCGCGGCUCAUGAUCUGGGUCAUCGGAUCUUGAUCCGGUGGUCUAUAUUUCAUACCAGUUCAUAAAGGUUAAAAUCUAAUCGCGACCAUUGGCUUUUGAUCGGACGACCGAGGAUCGCGGAUACCCCUUCAGCCGAGCCAGAUUUACAAAUGAGCCCCCGCAGAAUCUCAUAAUUAACCCUUCAUCCUCGCGGGAGUAGUCUGAGUCUGGUAGAGUUUUAUAAAUUUAACCCUAGGCUCUCUGAUAUUAGUGUCCUCGGUCCAGAACACUUAGGAUAUUCAGAAAUUAAUAAAGAAAUAGGUUUUUAGUAUAAAAAUAAAUCCAUAAACUUGUUUAAUUCAUAUUUAAUUCAUUCUAACUCCGAAUUAACCUAUUCCAGUUUCUAUAAUUUUGUAAUAUAAUUGUUUAUCAUUUUGUGUCACUGUUUUGACAUGAAAGCCAUAUUAAAAUUGAUAUCCUAAUUAAUCUUGUACAAAGCACAUAGAAUCUUUAGAAAUCCAUAACUUAAAAUCUAUAACUCCAAAAUUAAUAAUUCAUGUUCAUGUUAUCUUAUUUCAAUAUGUAGAUUAUUAAUAUGUAUUUUGCAUAUAUGUUUGGUGUAAUGUUAAUUUUUCCUAUACAUUGUUUGUCUAUAUUGCUACGUUUAGCAGUGAGGACACGUGUCAUCUGAAAAGCAAGUUGGUACCUGAAAUCUCAAGUCCCAGGCAAGUUGUGCCCUUGACCACUUCUUUUUACCCACUCAUGUUCUAAUUAAUCAUAAUGAUCUGCAUAGGUUAAUUUUGAUGGGACCCAAUAGGUUACCCCAGUUUGACUAUCUUUAUGCCUUGUUUACCACUGAACUUUUGGGUAGUACUUGCUAGUGCUUUAUGUGGAUUUGGGCAUUGAGAUAUUCAUGAUUAUACUUUUAUUAUCAGUUGUUAUUUACUAUUCAUGAUAAGAUCAUUAUGUUAAUUGGAACAUGGAGAACCACCCGGGAAAACAGUGCUACCACAAGGGUUUAAUGGGACGCCCUUGGCUGAUUAAUUAGGAAAGCUAGUGGAUGACUACCUUACCCGAAAGGGGCAAGGGCAGUAGGGGAGUGGUCAGUGUAGGGAGGCCCUUGGGAUGAUUUUGCUGCGAUGGCGGUCAUGCGAGGGAUUCCUGCAUUGGAGCUUCCUAUAAACUGUAGCGGGUUUUCUGAAGCUAGUGGAACUUUGUAAAGGCCUCGUAGUGUUACCCUGCCUCGCCUCCUCGGUAGAGGUGUAUGGGAUUGGCCGUCUCUUGGCAGAUGGGUAACAUGACUUGUGGGUAAAGAUGCGCAACCUCUGCAGAGUGUAAAACUGGUAUACUAGCCGUGCUCACGGUCAAGAGCAGCUCGGACACUCACAUGAUUAAUCUAUGGAACUAAAUUCAAUUUGUCAUAUGCAUUGCAUCGCAGGUGAUGUUGUUAUUUUUGUUCUACUACUUAAUUGGGUUUGAUAUUUACUUAUACUUAGUAAUUGCUAAUAAAAUUUUGACCAACUUUAAAAGCAAUGCUCAGCUCUAACCAUCCUCUUUGGUAAGCCUUACACUUCACGUGAGCUCCCACCUUUGGCGAGUUCAUGCACAUUAUUCCCCACAACUUGUUGAGCGAUGAACGUAUGUGAGCUCACUCUUGCUGUCUCACACCCCCCCACAGGUCAAGAACAGGUACCGCAGGAUGAGGCGCAUGAAGGAUGCGGCUAUGUGUUCGUGAGAGGUCUAGGUCGCCGUCUCCCAGUCAACUUUGGGUUGCUGGACCGUUGUCUCCUUAUAAUGUAAUUAUUUAUUUUGUGCAAAAUUCCUGUUAUGUAGUAAAGAUGUGACAUUCGAUCCUGUGCCAUGAUUCAUCAUAUGUGUGAGACUUGGUCCCAGCACACCUGGUGAUUAUGUUCGCGCCCGGGUCUUGGUGCCCCGAAACCCGGGUGUGACAGAAGUGGUAUCAGAGGAAUGUUGACUGUAGGACGAAACCUAGAUAGAACUGGACAACCCUUACCUACUUACCUAUGCUACUCUGAUUCUUUUCUAAACUUAUCUUAAUAUUUUCUCAUCUAUUUCUGACUUACUCUGAUAAUUCCUACCUUUUCACUCUAAAGACCAAUGUGGAUUUCACAUUUUGAAAUCUUGUGCCUAAAGUGACCUUUAGGAAUAGGAGACCUACUCUUAGGAACAAAAUCAAAACUACUUUUAUUGUGAUUAUUCUGUAUGCUUAAAUGUUUGUUCUUGUGAUACAUGUCUAAUUUGGAUCUUUGAUUGAGUGCGAUGAGUUGUGGAGUAAUGUCCACAAUUAACAUGUGCAUAUACAUAUAGGCAUAAAUAUAAAUAAAUGAAAUUCAUAAGAUAACUAAACAACCUAGAUUAUCCAUUGGAAUAUAUCUAGCUUAAUAGAUCCAUCUUAUCUUAAAAGACUCUCUCUUAUUCCAAUAGAUUCAUCUUAUCAUGAAAGAUUUGUUUUAUCUUAACCACUAUAUUUAUCUCAUCCUAAAGUAACAACCAUGACCUAAUCCAAAAUAAUGAGAUCUUAACUAGUUUAAUCAAGUUGUACCAACCUAAUCUAGAUUCUAUCUAAUCUAUUAUGAUCUAAUCUAGAGUAAGUUACUUAAUAUUGGUACAAAGGAUAAAGCCAUACUCCAAAUCCACUUAAGCUUAAACUGGUGACCUAGAUCAACUCGGCCAUACCCAACAACUUGACCUACAUAACAGAUCUAUCUUAGCCUCUUGUCCCAAACCCGGAUGGAGACACCAGAGAGCAAGACUGGAAAAGGACAAGAUCAACCUUGUCAAGGAAGGAGAGAAGUCAAACUCGAUCUUCAGAUGCAUUACCACCCAACAAGGAGUCCUUUCUCACCGUAAACUUUCUUACUUAGGCUAUUCUUGCCCUAACCUAUCCAUCUCUUAUAUCAUGCAUAAUAAGUAGCUGGAUACCUAUGCUCUCUCAAUCACUCACCCACCAUUGACUACAUAAAAAAAACAAGACCCUGGAUUUUUAAACCAAUUAUAGACUAAAAGCCGAAUUACAGAAAUGCUUCUGUAUCCCUUUCUUGCAAAUCUCGAGGACGAGAUUUCUGUUAAGGGGGGUAGGAUUUGUAACGACCAAAAUCCUAUUCUAAGAUUUACAAAUAUUUUUUAUAAGGUUUAGGGUUAAAAGGUAUUUUAAUAUAAGAAUCCUCAUUUUUAAAUGUUAUUCUAAAAAAACUAAAAGCUUGGAACCAUAAACACAAGAAUGUUAUUUAUUUAUUAUUCUCUUUAUGAACUACAUAUACAAAUGCACUCCUUCAAAAAAUAAUAACUUAUGGGAAAAAUAUUGUGUGGGUUGCAUAAUUGGAUCAUUUUUUUAUUUUUUUAUUUGCAUGAAUAAAUGAAUAAAUUAAUUAUUAUAAAUUAUACCUGCAUCAUGUUGGGUUUGUUUGUGCAUUUAUUUUGAAUUUUAAAACUAAGAACUGAUUUGAAUUUGGAAUUGAAAUAAAAAAAACAGAAUAAAAAGCAAAAGAAAUAGAUUGCUUACCUGAGAAAUGGGCCGAAUUUCCCCUCCCUUAGCCCAGUCUGGUGCCCUCUCAGACUACCACGCGCUUGCUGGCGAGUCUCUGACAUCGUGGGCCAACCCGUCAGCGUUGUCUUCCCCGAGUAGGACUCCAACAGACCGCGUGAUUCCAGGCAACAAAAACAUACCCGACGCCGCUGCUAUCCCAUAAUAUUCGGGGGGGUGCACCGGCCAAACCCACAACGGAAUCCUAGGAGUCUGCCGCUCCCAUGACCCUGCCCAGGUACAUAUAAGAUGGCCCCUGCGCCCUCCCAUAAGCCAUCGGCGAGUAGAAGCACCAGUGAGCGUCGAUUGCUCGGAUUUAGGUGGGGGAUCAGGGGUGUUCAUCGGAGUACAUUGUACUUGGGGCUAGUUUUUUUCAAGCGUCUGGAACAAGCAGUGAAGGCCCGAUGUUUGGUUUGGGAAGGCCCCCUUCCGUGACAAUGGAAUUAGUGCAUGCUACUAGCGUUCGUCUGGAGUCCCUUAUACAAUGGUGGGUUCUGGAAACUGAGGUAAAUCUUUGACUGGCCUAGUUUCUGAUUCCAAAUUUUGUGCUCCCACCGCUUCUUGAUCCGUCGGGUGCCAAGGGCCUCUGUUGCGGCAAGUCGGCUGCAGUCCGGGAGCCGGCGGUAGCAGAGGUGAACAACAAAGCUGGGCGUUGGCCUGCCAGCGUCGCCGGUGAGGGUGUCUCAGACGCCCAAGCAGCCCAUGUUGCCCUUCUACUUACCGAGCCGCCCUCACCCUCCAGCUACAAGGGCUCGCCGCCGUACAAACUAAAGGCCGCCGCCGCUCUGUAAUUUAUGGGGAAGAAACGACUCCGUCCAUUGAUCUGGGAGGGACGAUGGGGAUUAGAUCCUAACGUUUUAAAAUCAUGAGCGUCCGAUUCUAAUCGAACGGUUGGGGGAAGUAGCUGAUACCCCUUCGCGGCUCAUGAUCUGGGUCAUCGGAUCUUGAUCCGGUGGUCUAUAUUUCAUACCGGUUCAUAAAGGUUAAAAUCUAAUCGCGACCAUUGGCUUUUGAUCGGGCGACCGAGGAUCGCGGAUACCCCUUCAGCCGAGCCAGAUUUACAAAUGAGCCCCCGCAGAAUCUCAUAAUUAACCCUCCAUCCUCGCGGGAGUAGUCUGAGUCUGGUAGAGUUUUAUAAAUUUAACCCUAGGCUCUCUGAUAUUAGUGUCCUCGGUCCAGAACACUUAGGAUAUUCAGAAAUUAAUAAAGAAAUAGGUUUUUAGUAUAAAAAUAAAUCCAUAAACUUGUUUAAUUCAUAUUUAAUUCAUUCUAACUCCGAAUUAACCCAUUCCAGUUUCUAUAAUUUUGUAAUAUAAUUGUUUAUCAUUUUGUGUCACUGUUUUGACAUGAAAGCCAUAUUAAAAUUGAUAUCCUAAUUAAUCUUGUACAAAGCACAUAGAAUCUUUAGAAAUCCAUAACUUAAAAUCUAUAACUCCAAAAUUAAUAAUUCAUGUUCCUGUUAUCUUAUUUCAAUAUGUAGAUUAUUAAUAUGUAUUUUGCAUAUAUGUUUGGUGUAAUGUUAAUUUUGCCUAUACACUAUUUGUCUAUAUUGCUACGUUUAGCAGUGAGGACACGUGUCAUCUGAAAAGCAAGUUGGUACCUGGAAUCUCAAGUCCCAGGCAAGUUGUGCCCUUGACCACUUCUUUUUACCCACUCAUGUUCUAAUUAAUCAUAAUGAUCUGCAUAGGUUAAUUUUGAUGGGACCCAAUAGGUUACCCCAGUUUGACUAUCUUUAUGCCUUGUUUACCACUGAACUUUUGGGUAGUACUUGCUAGUGCUUUAUGUGGAUUUGGGCAUUGAGAUAUUCAUGAUUAUACUUUUAUUAUCAGUUGUUAUUUACUAUUCAUGAUAAGAUCAUUAUGUUAAUUGGAACAUGGAGAACCACCCGGGAAAACAGUGCUACCACAAGGGUUUAAUGGGACGCCCUUGGCUGAUUAAUUAGGAAAGCUAGUGGAUGACUACCUUACCCGAAAGGGGCAAGGGCAGUAGAGGAGUGGUCAGUGUAGGGAGGCCCUUGGGAUGAUUUUGCUGUGAUGGCGGUCAUGCGAGGGAUUCUUGCAUUGGAGCUUCCUAUAAACUGUAGUGGGUUUUCUGAAGCUAGUGGAACUUUGUAAAGGCCUCGUAGUGUUACCCUGCCUCGCCUCCUCGGUAGAGGUGUAUGGGAUUGUCCGUCUCUUGGCAGAUGGGUAACAUGACUUGUGGGUAAAGAUGUGCAACCUCUACAGAGUGUAAAACUGGUAUACUAGCCGUGCUCACGGUCAAGAGCAGCUCGGACACUCACAUGAUUAAUCUAUGGAACUAAAUUCAAUUUGUCAUAUGCAUUGCAUCGCAGGUGAUGUUGUUAUUUUUGUUCUACUACUUAAUUGGGUUUGAUAUUUACUUAUACUUAGUAAUUGCUAAUAAAAUUUUGACCAACUUUAAAAGCAAUGCUCAGCUCUAACCAUCCUCUUUGGUAAGCCUUACACUUCACGUGAGCUCCCACCUUUGGCGAGUUCAUGCACAUUAUUCCCCACAACUUGUUGAGCGAUGAAUGUAUGUGAGCUCACUCUUGCUGUCUCACACCCCCCCCACAGGUCAAGAACAGGUACCGCAGGAUGAGGCGCUUGAAGGAUGUGGCUAUGUGUUCGUGAGAGGUCUAGGUCGCCGUCUCCCAGUCAACUUUGGGUUGCUGGACCGUUGUCUCCUUAUAAUGUAAUUAUUUAUUUUGUGCAAAGUUCCUGUUAUGUAGUAAAGAUGUGACAUUCGAUCCUGUGCCAUGAUUCAUCAUAUGUGUGAGACUUGGUCCCAGCACACCUAGUGAUUAUGUUCGCCCCCGGGUCUUGGUGCCCCGAAACCCGGGUGUGAUAGUAUGUUGUCCUAGGAAGCCUCAAAAGGGUAUGUUGUCCUAGGAAGCAUCAAUAGGGUAUGUUAUCUUAGGGUAUUUACAUUUUUAGGACUCGAGAAGACAGUCCUAGGGUAUGUUGUCCUAGGAAGCCUCAAAAGGGUAAGACUUACAAAGAUGGUAGUUUAGGCUAUUGCUAUGGAGUUAUUCUUAAAAAUGUAAAUAGCUAGGCUAGUUUAAAUAUGCUUCAUGCAAAUAAGCGUGCAAGCCUCAUCCUGAGCAGCUUCAACUAUGUUCUUAGGAUGGCAAGCUAGUACAGGCCUUACUAAGAGGCCUUCACAACUAGCAUGCAAGAUGAUGAAUACCUAACACACAUGCUAUUAAGGGUAUAAUGAGUGUAUUGUUGUAUUCCCCUCUAUAAGGAAAAUGGACCGCGACCCAUUUGCUUAAGUGAUUUUGGUGUUUGAUGAGUGAUGACCAACAUGACUUGUGGACUAAUGUGUUUGUUAGUGUUUAUGUUUAUAGUUCAUAGGAUGAAACAUGGACUUAAGGAAUUGAGGGAGCAACACCUCAAGGAAGACAUUAGCAGACUCAUUGAAGACUUACCAACAUCAAGCAAAGUCCAAGACACAAGACAAGAAAAGCCCAAGUGAAAACAACUUGAAGAAUAGAAGAUUGGGUUGUUUAUGAGUGCACCAGACCGUCUAGAGGUUCACCAGAAUGAGACACUAAACCAAACACUCAUAGAGCAUGUAAACAACACCCAAGCCUUCUCACACACUGUUGGUACACCGGACCUUAUAGGCUCAAUGAUUGGCAAUAGCUAGUUGCAACGGACAACUGACAUGGCAGGCACUAGACUGUCUGAUGUGCGCUAUUGGCACAUUAGACCUCUAGUGUACAGAUGAAAAGUUGUCAUAUUUCCAAUGGUUAGCUAAAGUGGAAGGGCACCAGACGGGUUUGUUGUGACUCAUAAAAGUUUGCUUCCUUCCAAUGACUCUUUUGGGCUUGGGACUCAAUAUAAAUCCACUCAACCGAGCAUUCCAAGAUCCAAAGAGCUCAAGACUUUAGUGUAUGUGUUGAGACCUACAUUUCUAAUAGCUCCAAACACCCAAGUGCUUAAAGAAUCACUCGGUGGUUAGCGUAGGUGCUUUGAAAAGUGCUUAGGAUAUUUAUACAGUUUCAUUGUGCUUGCUCUAGGUUAUGCUUAGUUGAUUAGAGUGAGGUUAGACACCCUCAAGACACUUGGCUCUUGCGUGAGUCAUUGUAAUUGUAUCGAGUGGGGUGAGAGUCUUGUGAGAUCACACCAACUGCGUUUGUGGUCUGGCCGCCACCGUGUACCAGAGGGAACGAGUCCCAUGGCGUUUCGGCUAGAAGCUCGAUAGUGAAGACAACGGGGAGCAUCCAAGAGAGGUCUGAAGUGGAGCACCACUUGUACGUGGAGAAGGCCUGGGCUAUCUAUGAGUUACAUGUCUGAGAUGCUUGGCACCAACAAGGAUUAGUAAGAACCAUGCACGGUUCUUAAUACCUUUGUAAAAAUAUCAACGCGUCAAUGGGAGUUUGCAUCUCUACCUUACUUAACCUUCCAUAUUUAUAUUCCUUCCUUAAGUUGUG